CUAUUUUUUUUGGGGGGGGCACCAAAAAGAGGCAAGUUGUUCUACAUGGGAAUGAAGUUCUGGUGUUGUGGGAGUGUGUGUUCUGUUACAGACCUUGCCAUCGCACAGAGGUUCAAUGUGACACAUCCUCUGCCACUCCAUCUGUCUCUGCCCCCAUGCUGCUGUCUUCAUUGGCUCCUGCACGCGUCACUCACCUUACUUCAUCACCAGCACCCCAGAGAGGCAUCUCUUCUUGUCCUGAUUUUUGACAAAAAUAGCCAUCAAAGUGAAAAACUAGAAUGAAACUGUGCGCUCUCAUCAGCCCAGCUCUGGGACAUUUGGGGAGGGUGAGUAAAGACAGCAGAGGAACAACUGUA
rnacentral:lncRNA from 1 species